CGGGGUGCACCAGGCGCGAAAACUUUACAAUGCGGGAAACCGUGAUAAGGGGACACCGAGUGCCAGCAUCAUAUGCUGGCUGUCCGGGUGUGUAAAAUACACCCGUUAGCAAGGGCCGGGCAAGACCGGUGCCAGCCGCCGCGGUAACACCGGCGGCCCGAGUGGUGAUCGUGAUUAUUGGGUCUAAAGGGUCCGUAGCCGGUUUGGUUAGUCCUCCGGGAAAUCUGACGGCUCAACCGUUAGGCUUUCGGGGGAUACUGCCAGGCUUGGAACCGGGAGAGGUAAGAGGUACUACAGGGGUAGGAGUGAAAUCUUGUAAUCCCUGUGAGACCACCUGUGGCGAAGGCGUCUUACCAGAACGGGUUCGACGGUGAGGGACGAAAGCUGGGGGCACGAACCGGAUUAUGAUACCCGGGUAGUUCCAGCCGUAAACGAUGCUCGCUAGGUGUCAGGCAUGGCGCGACCGUGUCUGGUGCCGCAGGGAAGCCGUGAAGCGAGCCACCUGGGAAGUACGGCCGCAAGGCUGAAACUUAAAGGAAUUGGCGGGGGAGCACAAGGGCGAAUCG
rnacentral:rRNA from 1 species